rnacentral:rRNA from 1 species
GACGAACGCUGGCGGCGUGCUUAACACAUGCAAGUCGAACGGAAAGGCCCUGCUUUUGUGGGGUGCUCGAGUGGCGAACGGGUGAGUAACACGUGAGUAACCUGCCCUUGACUUUGGGAUAACUUCAGGAAACUGGGGCUAAUACCGGAUAGGAGCUCCUGCUGCAUGGUGGGGGUUGGAAAGUUUCGGCGGUUGGGGAUGGACUCGCGGCUUAUCAGCUUGUUGGUGGGGUAGUGGUUUACCAAGGGUUUGACGGGUAGCCGGCCUGAGAGGGUGACCGGCCACAUUGGGACUGAGAGACGGCCCAGACUCCUACGGGAGGCAGCAGUGGGGAAUAUUGCACAAUGGGCGGAAGCCUGAUGCAGCAACGCCGCGUGCGGGAUGACGGCCUUCUGGUUGUAAACCGCUUUCGCCUGUGACGAAGCGUGAGUGACGGUAAUGGGUAAAGAAGCACCGGCUAACUACGUG